AUGUGAAGAGGUAGCAAGAGAGCAGCAAUCUACAAGCCAAGGAAAGAGGCCACAGAGGAAACCAACCCUGCCAGCAUCUUGAUCUUGGACUUCCAGCUUCCAGAACUAACCAGGGACCCCACUCCCAUGCCGACAGUAUGGGCUGCUGUCUUCAGGACCAUUGCAAGUGUCCUUCACGGUUCGGUUCACAUUUCACAAGCCCCAUGAAGUCUAUCUGGAUUUUCGAUGGAUGUCUUGCCUUUUCCUCUACACACUACAGGAAGAGUGGCCACCCCUGCCAAGGGCCUAGUAUAGUACCCUAUACAUGUAGCUGAUCAGUUGAUUGUUACUGAUCAUAUGUAUCCUGCAUCAUGUUAUAAAAAAUUAACACAGUGCUUGGCA
rnacentral:lncRNA from 10 species